UCUGGUGACCGGGCCCCUCUGGCGAGAGAAUGCGGCGCUCUCGCGAUGUCGGCACCCAAA
rfam:Rhodobacter sphaeroides 2.4.1 chromosome 1, complete sequence.